UCCGGUUUGUCACCGGCAGUCUCAUUAGAGUGCCCUUGCGUAGCAACUAAUGAUAAGGGUUGCGCUCGUUGCGGGACUUAACCCAACAUCUCACGACACGAGCUGACGACAGCCAUGCACCACCUGUGAAGGUGUCCCGAAGGAAAACCAUGUUUCCAUGGCGGUCACCUACAUGUCGAACCCAGGUAAGGUUCUUCGCGUUGCGUCGAAUUGAACCACAUGCUCCGCUGCUUGUGCGGACCCCCGUCAAUUCCUUUGAGUUUCACCGUUGCCGGCGUACUCCCCAGGUGGAUGACUUAACGAUUUCUCUCUGCCGCUGGCCGUGUAUCGCCAACAGCGAGUCAUCAACGUUUACAGUGUGGACUAC
rnacentral:misc_RNA from 1 species